AGAGUUUGAUUAUGGCUCAGGAUGAACGCUAGCGACAGGCUUAACACAUGCAAGUCGAGGGGCAGCGGGGAAGUAGCAAUACUUCCGCCGGCGACCGGCGCACGGGUGAGUAACACGUAUGGAACCUGCCCGUAGCAGGGGGAUAAGCGGAAGAAAUUCCGUCUAAUACCGCGUAAUAACUCCGAGAGGCAUCUCUUGGGGUUUAAAGGGUAACACCGGCUACGGAUGGCCAUGCGGCGCAUUAGCUAGUUGGCGGGGUAACGGCCCACCAAGGCGACGAUGCGUAGGGGUUCUGAGAGGAAGGUCCCCCACACUGGUACUGAGACACGGACCAGACUCCUACGGGAGGCAGCAGUGAGGAAUAUUGGUCAAUGGGCGCGAGCCUGAACCAGCCAAGUCGCGUGAGGGAA
rnacentral:rRNA from 1 species